UGGGGGAUCUUGCGCAAUGGGCGAAAGCCUGACGCAGCGACGCCGCGUGGGUGAUGAAGGCCUUCGGGUCGUAAAGCCCUGUCGAGGGGAACGAAACGGUUGUGACCUAACACGUUGCAGCCCUGACGGUACCCCUAAAGGAAGCACCGGCUAACUCCGUGCCAGCAGCCGCGGUAAUACGGAGGGUGCGAGCGUUGUUCGGAAUCACUGGGCGUAAAGGGCGUGUAGGCGGUUCGCUAAGUCUGAUGUGAAAGCCCGGGGCUCACCCCCGGAAGUGCAUUGGAAACUGGCGAACUCGAGUCCCGGAGAGGAGAGUGGAAUUCCUGGUGUAGCGGUGAAAUGCGUAGAUAUCAGGAGGAACACCGGUGGCGAAGGCGGCUCUCUGGACGGUGACUGACGCUGAGACGCGAAAGCGUGGGGAGCAAACAGGAUUAGAUACCCCGGUAGUCC
rnacentral:rRNA from 1 species